rnacentral:rRNA from 1 species
CAGUAGCCACGGGAAUACGAAGGGGGCUAGCGUUGUUCGGAAUUACUGGGCGUAAAGGGCGCGUAGGCGGCCAUUCAAGUUAGAUGUGAAAGCCCUGGGCUCAACCUAGGAAUUGCAUUUGAUACUGUUUGGCUUGAGUUCGGGAGAGGUGAGUGGAAUUCCCAGUGUAGAGGUGAAAUUCGUAGAUAUUGGGAAGAACACCAGUGGCGAAGGCGGCUCACUGGACCGACACUGACGCUGAGGCGCGAAAGCGUGGGGAGCAAACAGGAUUAGAUACCCCCGUAGUCCCUGUCUCUUAUAC